UUUUACGAAACUCAACCCCUAAGGGGGUAAACGGGGGUUGCAAGUUUGUAUGAAAGUCCUAUGUUUUUGAAGUAAGAGACUUGAAAUUUAAAAUGUAUGCUCUAUAGAUGGUGAGAAGGUGUCCAAAUAAUGUAUCUUUAGAAAUCAACUCCCUUUUGGGGUUAAAACGGGGGAUGGUAGGUUUACUCACUCAUCACGAAAUCUCCGAAACUAUAACACCUACAAACUUGAAAUUUGGCAGAUAGGCUCCUUAUA
rnacentral:misc_RNA from 1 species